CACAAAGAUAUGUUUACACAAAAACCCAUCAAAACUUUUCUUUUUUUCCUUGGAAAUCGUUGAAGUAAUACACAAAGUCAAAUGUGUAGUGUUAUUAAAAUCUAAACUUUCACGCAAAGUGAUCUAGCUAAUUGAUAUGUAUGUUGGCCAUCUUAUCAACUACAAACUGAAAGCAUUCACCACAAAACGCUUAUCUCUCUCUCUCUCUGCUCGCUACGAUACCGGUCACCGGCGCCGCUAAUCCGACCGGCCCCUGGCGACGGUUUUUCCCCGAUAAGGCACACCCAACAAACUCUAAACACCCAGCUCUCCCUCUUAUCUCCUGCCGGCGACGACCACGGAGGUCCGACAGAAUUAUCGGCGAUGGCAUAACGACGGUGGAGAUACGUUCUCCGACAAAAUUCCUCCGGCGACCCCCCUCCGCCCAACUCGUUCCUUUUUCCGGCGAGUGAGCUUCGACGGCUGGGCCACCGUGAGUGGCUGUGGUACCUCUGUUCUUUUCAACAAGUUUUCCGAUGCUCGAGGAUGACGAUAUUGAUGUUGUUGACGGUAAUUAACGCCGGCAGGGUUCCGGGUGGUGGCUGGUCACGAGCGGUGGAUGUCGGCGAAAACAGUGGCGGCGGUGUGAUCCUGAAAUGGUAGUCUCCGGCCACACAUGACAACCGCGUACGACAGCGGCACUAGCGACGUUUCGAGCGACGGCGGCGACAGGUUUGUGACUCAAUUCAGGUUUCAAGUUUGUGAUUCAGUUCAAGUUUCGGUUCACACUGUUCAUUUUUUGGUUCGGGUCAGGUUUGUUCAACAUCGGUUUCUGUUCGACUCAGUCUUGGUACGGGUUUCGCGGUACGAUCGGUUUGAGUAAACAAGUCAAAGACAGACAAACAAAUAUCUCGGUUCAUUAGGUUCGGGUUUAACUCAGUUAUGGUCCAACUCGACUUGACUGGGUUCAGUGUUGGUUCGUGUUUGGUUUUACACGGUUAAAGCUCAGAUUUGUUUCGGUUUCGAGUUCGGGUCAACUCGAUCAACCUAGAGUCAACACGGGUCAACUCAGUUCGGUUCUGGUCAACGGCAGUCAACACAAAGACCUGGAAUGUCAUAGUUGCAUGCUAGCUAACUCACGUCCUUGGAACGACACUUCCGAAUCAUGCUAGGCUAGCUUUGCGCAGGAAUGUCAAGGUUGCAUUUUCAAAACUAUGGACCGGUUGGAAUAGGAGAACCCAUGGGGAUUCGAGUACUUAGUGGGUGUUCAACUGUUUAGAAGUCUUAGCUCAAAUACUUCCGCUGUGCAAUGAAGAUACCAGUCCAGUCACGCCAGCUCUGAUAUUUUCGGGAUAUGACACUGUAUUCAUGCAUCUCUUAAACAGGGUAUGCAAACCUUAUUUGGAUAAAUUCAUCAUAGUAUUCAUCGACGAUAUACUUAUCCUAUUCGUGAACCAAAGAAGAUCAUGAGCAUCAUUUGAAGUUGAUUUUGGAGCUGCUGAAGGAAGAGAAGUUGUAUGCCAAGUUAUCUAAGUGUGAAUUCUGGAUUCGAGAAGUUCAUUUUCUCGGACAUGUCAUAAACGAGAAAGGUAUUCACGUGGAUCCGUCGAAGAUUGAGGCGAUCAAGAAUUCGGAAGCGCUAGAGACUCUGUGAUACGCUAGGUAAACCAGGAAACCACGCAACCCAACUAGCUUCCUCAGUAACUACCUACUAAAUUUCGGGACAAAAUUUCUUUCAACUUGGGGAUGAUGUGACAACUCGUACUUUAGGAACUUUCGUUGUGCUUUGAUGUAACCUGUAUGAACUUUACAUGAUUAUUGAUGUGUUUUCUUUGU
rnacentral:lncRNA from 1 species